rnacentral:rRNA from 1 species
UUUGCCUACUACAGCGGCCCCCCUGCCCGGGGCUGCUAGUCUCCCAGCGAGGCGACACGCUCAAUGUGCGGAGAGCCCUCCCCCGAGGAGGCAAUCCGCAGUGGCCUGCGCGGCCAUUCAGAGACUCAAUGAGCGUGGGUUCAGCGCGGCUGAGCUUGAGAUAGAGCCCGUCCCUGCCGGCAACGGCGGGGAGGAAACGGAACCUGCGGAAGGAUCAUUACAGAAGGAUAUCGCCCUCGGGCUUCUCUUCUCACCCUUUGUUUACCACACGUAGUUGCCUUGGCGCUCCGCGCCAGUGGAUCGAAACUCCUGAAUCAUUGCCGUCUGAGUACUAUUCAAUAGUUAAAACUUUCAACAACGGAUCUCUUGGUUCUGGCAUCGAUGAAGAACGCAGCGAAAUGCGAUAAGUAAUGUGAAUUGCAGAAUUCAGUGAAUCAUCGAAUCUUUGAACGCACAUUGCGCCCUCCGGUAUUCCGGGGGGCAUGCCUGUUCGAGCGUCAUUACAACCCUCAAGCUCUGCUCGGUGUUGAGCCCGCCCCGGCCUGCCCGGGGCUCGCUUCAAAGUCAGUGGCGGCCGCCGUCCGACCUUCAGCGCAGUAAUGCUCGCCGCUGUUAGGGAAGGGUAGCAAGGGCCGUCAUACAACCCCCACACAAGGUUGACCUCGGAUCAGGUAGGGAUACCCGCUGAACUUAAGCAUAUCAAUAAGCGGAGGAAAAGAAACCAACAGGGAUUGCCUCAGUAACGGCGAGUGAAGCGGCAACAGCUCAAAUUUGAAAGCUGGCUCCUUCGGGGCCCGCGUUGUAAUUUGUAGAGGAUGCUUCGGGCGCGGCACCGGUCUAAGUUCUCUGGAACGAGACGUCAUAGAGGGUGAGAAUCCCGUAUGUGACUGGCUGCCUGUGCCCAUGUGAAGCUCCUUCGACGAGUCGAGUUGUUUGGGAAUGCAGCUCAAAACGGGAGGUGUACUCCUUCUAAAGCUAAAUAUUGGCCAGAGACCGAUAGCGCACAAGUAGAGUGAUCGAAAGAUGAAAAGCACUUUGGAAAGAGAGUUAAACAGUACGUGAAAUUGUUGAAAGGGAAGCGCUUGCAAUCAGACUUGCGCGGCGUCGAUCAGCCUGGGUUCUCCCUGGUGCACUCGGCGCCGCUCAGGCCAGCAUCAGUUUCGGCGGUGGGAUAAAGGCCUAGGGAACGUGGGUCCCCU